GUCAAGCAAGGGUAAGGGAGGAUUCCAAACCCCGGUGAAGAGGUGAAGAGUACGGGAAGAGGUUUGGGGCUGGGCUCAAGAAAAGAACCGCGGGAACAGCCGACAGCCGACGGACUCGGUUGCCAGGGCUCCAAGGGGAGCGGAAACAGCGCCUUUGAGUCACGUCAGUUGGUGAGAUCGGGUCUUCGUUGAUUUCGAGUAGGGAAGAUGCCGUAGGGACUAUGGUGCACAGUAGAAUAUAAGGAGGUACCCCGGGAGGGGUCAAGGGAGGCGUGGGGGCUCCAGAGCUCGAGGAUGGAUGCAAAAGAGCACCCGGGAUCUCGAAGAAGGAUUAUAAGGGUGCCUCACCGGGGACUGGCAGCGUCACGGGUGACGAGCUACUGAGGACCACCAGGCCGUCGAGAUUGAGGCGGGCGUGGCAGGUGACGAAGCAGUGCACAUCGGAACUCCAGGCCCUCACAUCCAGCAGCUGGUAGGCUACCCAGCGGGGCCCACUGAGCGUCUCACCCCGCCGCAGCUCGGUGCGGAGGCUGGAACCCUCCGGGAGG